UUCUUUGACAACUUGCUCAUUUUCGUUUUCUUCUCGCCAAGACCUAGGCUGAAAUUGCACAAGCUCGUACAUGUGUCUCGUCUGAGGGAGAAGAAUCGAGAGCGUCACAUUCAUGCACGUAGAUAGGCAACCUUCCACACCUCAAACGUCAAAGCAGUAUGCCUAUUUUCCAAACAAAUCGUCUUUUAAAAUUUUGUGAAAUUUAAUUCAGUAAAUUAAAAUUUAAACUGUUGCAACGCAUUUUUAAUUGAGUAAAAAAUUCUGAAAAGGUAAACGCAACAAAUUUUUAGAAAAAUGGCGAGAGAAUUAGAAAUCCUGUGUUUAUUUCCCUUUAAAAGAGUUUCCCUAAGGUUACAAGGACCAGAGGAAUCGUGAAGAUGAGCUCAAGAGAUGGAAUUUUUUGAAAAAAUCAUUUUUUUAUUGCAUCCAACAAAUCAAAUAAUUUUCAACUUGAUUAAAUUAAUUAACUGAUAAUUACAACUCCAGCCGCAUUAAAAAUGAUUUCAAAUUCAAGAAAUUUCACCCCGUUUUUAAAUUUAUCUAAAAUAAAACGAUUUUUGUGACAACUGGCUCAUUUUCUUGGAUAUUUUUUUUUGCUGCUCACUCUUCCUGCUGUGAUCCCCCCGCUCCUCUCUCAUCCCAUGUCCAGCAAUAUUAUUUUUCUCUCUAUUCACAUGGUAUAUGUAUGUGUUAUCCCUAGAGAAAAAGGAGGAAGACACCAAACGAAGCGAUAUUCAACAAAUUCUAAGGUGAGCAUUAAAGGCCUCCCCUCCCCUUUCCCCCCCUUUGCCCGCGGAGAGAGCAUAAAACCAUCACGCACUCGGCUACAGCACACUAUCUACUCGAGCUCGCUUUGGACCUGAAGUCGCCUCUGCAGCUCUGCUCUCCACUCACACUCGUACUUUCGCGACAUGAAUAUUGAUCCUGUCACCUUUCUGGACCCCACCGGACUUUACAUCCAUUAAGUCCUUCGCCAGAAGCUGCUUUUUUCUCCUCUCGCCGCAAAAAAAUAAUAAUCUACAAGAUGGACUAUAUUCGCGGAGACGCAACUGGUGCCUGCAACAAAGAUCUCAAGGACACCCGCGAAGCAACCGGGCAACCUUUGGACCCAACUGGCAAGUACUAACUUGCCACCCGUCCUCAGCCAGAAAAGAAAAAAAAUCAACAAGAUGGACCUUUCCUUGGACGAACUGGCGUCAUUUAGACUCGCCACUCGUCCUAGGCGCGUCCUCAGCCUCAAAAGAUUCAUGGACUCAGACGGCCCUGCCGAAAAGCCGCCACCGCCUCCAAGUCUGCCUCCGGAACGCAGAAAUGGGGCGUGCUGCUGCCGGUUACAACCCUCCUAGAAGCCACACCUCGUGCCAUACCACCACCUCCGCAAAGAAUUGACUCAUUUUCGAUUCGGAAGAACAACUUCAGGAGAGAGUCAACGAUGUCCGGAGACGUAUUCAUUUAGCUCUUAGCAGCGGGGGAGAAAUUCGUGCGACGUGCAACACAAAAAGCUCUGGACGCUCGUCUGGAAAUUAAAACGAGAGCUUUUUGUUUCGCACAUUCAGACGCCAUCUUUGUUGUGCGCAGUGCGAACCAAUUUUAUCCUGCAUAUCUUGACCCCGCUGGUUUUAAGUUAACGUUACCACCAUCUUGGCACCGCAACAAGCAGCAUCUACAAUGUAGUAUUAGAUAUAUAUUUAUAAGGUAAAGGCGGUAACAAAUUGCUUUUGUUUACUUACAUCAAGGUGCUUAGCAGUUUACUCGUAAUUAAAUUCAUGAAAAUUGUAGGAUCGCAUCAUCUGGUUAUUUCUUAAGUUGUAAUGUUAGACCCUGUGCAUGUGUAAUGUAGCACGCAUACAUAAGUGCCAAAAAUAUUUACUACAAUUAACGACAGUAAUAACAACCUGGUGCAGUUUUACGUUUUGCUAUCAAUCAGAAACAUGAAUUAAUUAUGUAUUGCGUCCUUUUAGAUUUAAGGAAUCACAAUGAUUUUCAUCGUCCAUCACUAUUUAUUACUAAAUAAAAAAUAAUAAAAAUAAA